rnacentral:rRNA from 1 species
AUGGCUGAGCUGACCAAAAAAGACUCCCAAAUCACCGAUCUUCAGGCAAAUAUCAAAUCCCAGCAAGAUGAGACUUGCAAGGUUAAAGGCAAGCUAACCACCGCUUUAACAACCAUGGAACAACUGAAGGAGUACUUUAAGGGUGAACGGGCAGACUGGGAAGUUGAAAAAUCCACUUUGUUAAAGCGGGCAGAAGAUACUAAAAACGCCCUUAAAUCGGUGACAGAAGAACUGAGCAGCUUGAAGCAGCAGAUCAAUGCCAUGACCUCUGCCAUCUUUGGUAGCCGUGUUACUCAUCUUGGAGCAGAUAUGCGCAAAAAAUUGAAGGCUGCCUAUACAUUGGCAGAGCAAUUUUAUACCGGCGCUCAACGAGCCAUCUGCACAGCUUCCAAUAACAAACCGCCCCCAACGCUGAUCAAGGAAACACUGGAAAGGUUAUCCAUGCUGCCUGCCCGGAUUGAAGAAUUGAAGAAGUCAGCUGCUAGGGCCGGUGCUCUUACUGCCUUGACUCGGGCCAAAGCCUGGAUAUCUGACCUCGAUCCGGAAGACAUUGGGAAUGGUUAUCCAAGCCAGAAAGAGGACAGGUCAGAAUUUGAUAAUGAUGACCUCAGGGCUAUCAAUCAAGAAAUGCGUCCACUGGCAAGCAACUUGGCUGAAGACACUGAUUUGUCGUUUUAUCAGAACUCUUAUGAUGCCAGCGACAAACGGAUGAAUGCACCAACUUAUGACGUGGAAAAUCUGAUCCCGCCAAUUCCCACUGGGCGGAGAGAAGGAGGGUGA